AUUGAACGCUGGCGGCAUGCCUUACACAUGCAAGUCGAGCGGUAACAGGUCUUCGGAUGCUGACGAGUGGCGAACGGGUGAGUAAUACAUCGGAACGUGCCUAGUAGUGGGGGAUAACUACUCGAAAGAGUGGCUAAUACCGAAUGAGAUCUACGGAUGAAAGCAGGGGAUCGCAAGACCUUGUGCUACUAGAGCGGCCGAUGGCAGAUUAGGAAGUUGGUGGGAUAAAAGCUUACCAAGCCGACGAUCUGUAGCUGGUCUGAGAGGACGAGCAGCCACACUGGGACUGAGAAACGGCCCAGACUCCUACGGGAGGCAGCAGUGGGGAAUUUUGGACAAUGGGCGCAAGCCUGAUCCAGCAAUGCCGCGUGCAGGAUGAAGGCCUUCGGGUUGUAAACUGCUUUUGUACGGAACGAAAAGCCCUGGGUUAAUACCCUGGGGUCAUGACGGUACCGUAAGAAUAAGCACCGGCUAACUACGUGCCAGCCGCCGCCGUAA
rnacentral:rRNA from 1 species